rfam:Camelus ferus unplaced genomic scaffold scaffold859, whole genome shotgun sequence.
GAGGCUGUAGCUCAGAGGUGGAGUGUGUGCCUUGCAUGCACGAGAUCCUGGGUUCAGUCCCCGGUGCCUCC